rnacentral:misc_RNA from 1 species
UCCGGUUUGUCACCGGCAGUCACCUUAGAGUGCCCAACCGAAUUGCUGGCAACUAAGAUCAAGGGUUGCGCUCGUUGCGGGACUUAACCCAACAUCUCACGACACGAGCUGACGACAACCAUGCACCACCUGUCUCAACUUUCCCCGAAGGGCACCUAACGCAUCUCUGCCUCGUUAGUUGGAUGUCAAGACCUGGUAAGGUUCUUCGCGUUGCUUCGAAUUAAACCACAUACUCCACUGCUUGUGCGGGUCCCCGUCAAUUCCUUUGAGUUUCAGUCUUGCGACCGUACUCCCCAGGCGGAAUGCUUAAUGUGUUAACUUCGGCACCAAGGGUAUCGAAACCCCUAACACCUAGCAUUCAUCGUUUACGGCGUGGACUAC